rnacentral:rRNA from 1 species
UGGGGAAUUUUGGACAAUGGGCGAAAGCCUGAUCCAGCAAUGCCGCGUGUGUGAAGAAGGCCUUCGGGUUGUAAAGCACUUUUGUCCGGAAAGAAAUGGCUCUGGUUAAUACCUGGGGUCGAUGACGGUACCGGAAGAAUAAGGACCGGCUAACUACGUGCCAGCAGCCGCGGUAAUACGUAGGGUCCAAGCGUUAAUCGGAAUUACUGGGCGUAAAGCGUGCGCAGGCGGUUGUGCAAGACCGAUGUGAAAUCCCCGAGCUUAACUUGGGAAUUGCAUUGGUGACUGCACGGCUAGAGUGUGUCAGAGGGGGGUAGAAUUCCACGUGUAGCAGUGAAAUGCGUAGAGAUGUGGAGGAAUACCGAUGGCGAAGGCAGCCCCUGGGAUAACACUGACGCUCAUGCACGAAAGCGUGGGGAGCAAACAGGAUUAGAUACCCUGGUAGUCCACGCCCUAAACGAUGUCAACUAGUUGUU